GAUGAACGCUGGCGGCAUGCUUAACACUUGCAAGUCGAGCGGACAAACCGGGAAACUGUGUUUCUAGUGGCAGCCGGGGGCGUAACACGAACAAACCGGCCCCUGGGAGGUGAACAACGGCUGGAAACGGCUACCAAUACCCCGUAGCCGGUGAAACAUAAAGAGGAAUCCACCCGAGGGGAGGCUCGCGUUUGCUUAGCCAGAUGGAGAGACCCUAGCCUACCAAGGCGAUGGGCAGUAGACCGUCGGAGAGGAUGAACGGCCACACUGGGACUGAGACACGGACCAGACUCCUACGGGAGGCAGGAGUGGGGAAGUUGCCGCAAUGGGCGAAAGGCUGACGGAGCAAUGCCGCGGGGAGAUAGAAGGACCAGGGGUCGUGAACUUCGUUUCCCGGAGAAGAAGCAAUGACGGUACCUGGGGAAUAAGCAACGGCUAACUAUGUG
rnacentral:rRNA from 1 species